rnacentral:lncRNA from 1 species
AUCUCAUAUUUUCAAACUGGCUACUGAUGUAUCUUUCAGAAUAGGAGGUAAGAGAAUGCACUUAUGAACCUGGUUGUUUGUCUCGAUCCUCGAUUUAAUAGACAUUUUACAGGCCUGUAGUAAUCCUUUAUUGUCCAGAUCAAUAGUUAAUCCUGGUUCCGGAAAAGAGAAAAUUUCUUAUAUUAAAUUUGGUUUCCCUAUUUACUGAAAACAUUUUUCUUCCCUAUCUAACACGGUCUUUAAAUAUUAUGCCCUUUAUAACACUUCCAUUCAUUUUAAGUCUUGUUAGUGUUAAAUGACACCUGAAAAUAUCUAUUUGCCCCUCAUGUGGUAGGUGAUCAAAUUUUACGUGGUAAUUUAGCUUCAGGUCAGCAGGGUAGCGAGUGUACAUCAAUAGUACAUGGUAUAUUAAAUGAUCGAUAGUAUACAAUAAGUCAGUACGUUAAUAUGCUUGUACAUUUUUGUUGUGAAAAGGCAGUGCUUGUACACGCACGUACACAACUAUAAACAGUCCUUCUGUAACAGUAGUGAGUUGAGAUUGAAAAACGAAUAUAAAAAAGAAUACAUGACUGACAUGGUUCCGUGACCCUCUAGCUUGGUUAGCUAGCCAGCGAAAGUAGAAUCGAUCAAGCGAGAGAUUGGCUUCUAGCUAACUUCAUCUAGUACGUAUACCAGUCGCGAGAAAACACUCGGCUAUAGUGUCAUCAGUGUCGAGGAUGGGACCAAGGCCAACACAAAAUGAGUCGGUCGGAUACACAUAAACAUAUAAUAUUUUCACAUGAGGGACAAAUAGGUCUUUUGAUGUGUCAUUUAACACUGUUAUGUUUUAAAAUGGACGAAAGUAUUAUAAAAGGUAUAAAAUUUAGACUUAGUGUUAAAUAAGGAAGAAAAAGUUUUAUAGUGUUAAAUAGGGCUAUAAAUUUUAAGACAGUGUUAAAUAAGAAAUUCUCUCUCCGGAAAACGUGAGCUGAUAACAUCUCCUAUACAAUCGUAGAUAGUUUGAAGUUUAAUUUCUAGUUUCUGUGGCCUGUUUAGGUUGGACUAAUUAUACUCCAGAAUUUAUAUCUCAGGAUUUUUAAUAUCAUCUUCAGGAUGAACACAAAUCUUUUCAUUUCUAAUAUGUUUUAUAUUUGUUUCCUUUUGAUUGAUUCAUGUGCAGUGUAAUGUUCUUGUAGGUUGACAAGUUGUGGCAUCUCGAGCAUGUCUCAUAAGAGAGUGGAAUGAAGUCCAUUGUAAUGUUGGGAUAGUAGCAGAUGUGCCAUUGUUUUAUUGUGCAAUUAUGUGCGUUCUUGCUAUAUUCAUGUGUAAGGAUACGUAUUCAUGAGAUGAGUUAUUGUAUUAUGUAAACCUGGGAGAUGUAUUAUGUGAUGUUAUAUGAUGGAUGAUUUUAAUUUGAUUUGGAGUUUUCUUGAUUUGAAUAUGAAAUAGUG